UACGUAGGGUGCGAGCGUUGUCCGGAAUUAUUGGGCGUAAAGGGCUCGUAGGCGGUUUGUCGCGUCGGGAGUGAAAGCCCACUGCUUAACGGUGGGUCUGCUUCCGGUACGGGCGGGCUGGAGUAUGGCAGGGGAGACUGGAAUUCCUGGUGUAGCGGUGGAAUGCGCAGAUAUCAGGAGGAACACCGGUGGCGAAGGCGGGUCUCUGGGCCAUUACUGACGCUGAGGAGCGAAAGCGUGGGGAGCGAACAGG
rnacentral:rRNA from 1 species